rnacentral:rRNA from 1 species
ACGCUGGCGGCAUGCCUAACACAUGCAAGUCGAACGAGACCUUCGGGUCUAGUGGCGCACGGGUGCGUAACGCGUGGGGAUCUGCCCUUUGCUUCGGAAUAACAGUUAGAAAUGACUGCUAAUACCGGAUGAUGACUUCGGUCCAAAGAUUUAUCGGCAAAGGAUGAACCCGCGUAGGAUUAGCUAGUUGGUGGGGUAAAGGCCUACCAAGGCGACGAUCCUUAGCUGGUCUGAGAGGAUGAUCAGCCACACUGGGACUGAGACACGGCCCAGACUCCUACGGGAGGCAGCAGUGGGAAUAUUGGACAAUGGGCGAAAGCCUGAUCCAGCAAUGCCGCGUGAGUGAUGAAGGCCUUAGGGUUGUAAAGCUCUUUUACCCGGGAUGAUAAUGACAGUACCGGGAGAAUAAGCUCCGGCUAACUCCGUG